AGAGUUUGAUCCUGGCUCAGGACGAACGCUGGCGGCGCGCUUAACACAUGCAAGUCGAGCGAGAACCAGGCCUUCGGGCUUGGGGAAAGCGGCGAACGGGUGAGUAACACGUGGGUAACCCACCCUUGGUACUGGGAUAGCCCGGGGAAACCCGGAUUAAUACCGGAUGGCCCAACAGCUCUUCGGGGCGGUUGGAAAAGGUAGCUUCGGCCUCCGACCAAGGACGGGCCCGCGGCGGAUUAGCUUGUUGGUGGGGUAACGGCCCACCAAGGCGACGAUCCGUAGCUGGUCUGAGAGGACGAUCAGCCACACUGGGACUGAGACACGGCCCAGACUCCUACGGGAGGCAGCAGUGGGGAAUCUUGCGCAAUGGGCGAAAGCCUGACGCAGCGACGCCGCGUGGGGGAAGAAGGCUUUCGGGUUGUAAACCCCUUUCAGGAGGGACGAAGCCACUCGGGUGAAUAGCCCAGAGGGUGACGGUACCUCCAGAAGAAGCCCCGGCUAACUACGUGCCAGCAGCCGCGGUA
rnacentral:rRNA from 1 species